UAGUCAAACAUAUUAGAUAAUAGUAUAAGAAAAACAUGGUGUUACAGAAGAAGUCAAUUUAAAUAAUAUCAUUGGCUACUUUAUUUCAUUUCCUUACCAUCAUCUUAAAGUACAAAGCCAUAGUUACAUAGUCUAUGAAAUUAGGAAUGAAAAAUAAAAAUAAAAAAAUUCAAUUAUUUGGUGCCAACAUAAUAAUUAACAUAAUUAAAUGACAUAUUAUAGAAUAUUUUAUCAUAAAUAGUACUUCUUAGAUUUUUGGUCAUCAGAAGAAAUAAUUCUAUCCUAGACUUUCCUUGGCCGCUUACUCACAUAAUCUUUUAUCAUUUAUUCACCGGGCUUUUACCAUGUCUGUAUUCCAAUAAUUUUUGGGUUUAUUUGGAGAAGAACAAAUACAUUGGUGAUUUCUACAUUGUGGAGUCGUAGUAGGUUUACACUUAAUUCUUUUUUCACAUGUUGGGUCAUCAUUACAUUCAAAAUAUCCUGAAAUAAAGAAUGAUAACAUAAGAAUGAUAUUAUGUAAGAAGUAAAGUGAGAAAUUUUAAAAGAGUGAUAAAAUGCAUUACUCGCUUCAACAAAAAAUAAGGAAAGAAAUAGGAUCAUAACAAAUGCAAACUUCAUAAGCUUCAUAUAUUUCCCCUCUUUGCAUAUAACAAUUAGAAAAUGCUUUGAUAACUUUAUAAUGAAAAAUGCUAAAGCUUUCUUUACAUGGAUAAAAUUGUUUCCAGAACUUAUAUAAUUGUAAAAAAAGUAUAUUAUAAAAUUAGAAUUAUUAU
rnacentral:lncRNA from 1 species